rnacentral:rRNA from 1 species
AUUGAACGCUGGCGGCAGGCCUAACACAUGCAAGUCGAACGAGUGGCGGACGGGUGAGUAAUGUCUGGGAAACUGCCCGAUGGAGGGGGAUAACUACUGGAAACGGUAGCUAAUACCGCAUACCAUCGGAUGUGCCCUGAUGGGAUUAGCUAGUAGGUGGGGUAACGGCUCACCUAGGCGACGAUCCCUAGCUGGUCUGAGAGGAGGACCAGACACACUGGAGCUGAGACACGGUCCAGACUCCUACGGGAGGCAGCAGUGGGGAAUAUCGCACAAGGGGCGCAAGUCUGAUGCAGCCAUGCCGCGUGUAUGAAGAAGGCCUGCGGGUUUUAAAGUACGUUCAGCGAGGGAGCGUUACUCGCAGAAGAAGCACCGGCUAACUCCGUGCAAGCAGCCGCGGUAAUUC